rnacentral:misc_RNA from 1 species
GUGAAGAACGCAGCGAAAUGCGAUAAGUAAUGUGAAUUGCAGAAUUCAGUGAAUCAUCGAAUCUUUGAACGCACAUUGCGCCCGCCAGUAUUCUGGCGGGCAUGCCUGUCCGAGCGUCAUUUCAACCAUCAAGCCCCGGGCUUGUGUUGGGGACCUGCGUCCGACGCAGGCCCUGAAAACCAGUGGCGGGCUCGCUGUCCACACCGAGCGUAGUAACUAACCUCGCUAUGGAGUGGCGCGGGCGCCUGCCGUAAAACCCCCAAUUUCACAAGGUUGACCUCGGAUCAGGUAGGAAUACCCGCUGAACUUAAGCAUAUCAAUAAGCGGAGGA